rnacentral:rRNA from 1 species
GUGAGGAAUAUUGCGCAAUGGAGGCAACUCUGACGCAGCCAUGCCGCGUGCAGGAAGAAGGCGCUACGCGUUGUAAACUGCUUUUAACCGGGAAGAAACCCCAGGACGUGUCCUGGGUUGACGGUACCGGAGGAAUAAGCACCGGCUAACUUCGUGCCAGCAGCCGCGGUAAUACGAAGGGUGCAAGCGUUAUCCGGAUUCAUUGGGUUGAAAGGGUGCGUAGGCGAAGCGUUAAGUCAGUGGUGAAAUCCUGCAGCUUAACUGUAGACUUGCCAUUGAUACUGGCGCUCUUGAGUGCGCUUGAAGUGGGAGGAAUGUGCCGUGUAGCGGUGAAAUGCUGAGAUAUGGCACAGAACACCAAUUGCGAAGGCAGCUCACUAAGGCGAUACUGACGCUGAGGCACGAAAGCGUGGGGAUCGAACAGGAUUAGAAACCCCUGUAGUCC